UUGGACUGAAAAGAUCUAUCUGCAAAGGAAUUAAUAAAGAUAAUUUUGGAUUUAGUUGUACUUGUCGAUGAAGCUUGUAACGUGCCAUGGCAAUUACAUGAACAUUAAUCUACUGACAUCGUAAUAAAUGGCGGUUUCAUCUUUGUGCAAACGGUUUGCUGGUUCGGGCAGAGUUGGUGUCUUGGUCAUGGUGUCGAAUAUAUUUUUCCUGUUGGCUUUUUUGAUGGACUUGUCAUUGUCGAGGUGGAAAUUGCAGGCGUGUUUGCAGCCGGGGAACUGAAAUGGAGGAAGAAAGUUGCGCACGAUGUCAUUUUUGGCGCGUGUCAAGUGGCUCCGCCGGCGACUUGAUGGCAAACUAAGUCUGCGCGGUUGUCAACUCGUUCAUUCAUGUGAUAGGAAGCAAAGCAAGAGGACCUCCAGGACCAAAAAA